rnacentral:tRNA from 1 species
CGAUCACCUGGUCGAGGAGGUCGGCGUCACGCGCCGCGAGCCGCGUGGGCUGCUGCGCAUCUGCAGCAGUUUCGGCUUCGGGCGGCGGGUGGUGGC